rnacentral:rRNA from 1 species
UACGUAGGUGGCAAGCGUUGUCCGGAAUUACUGGGUGUAAAGCGCGUGUAGGCGGGAGGCCAAGUCUGCUGUGAAAUCGCCCGGCUCAACUGGGCGGGGUCGGUGGAAACUGGUCACCUGGAGGACGGUAGAGGCGAGUGGAAUUCCUGGUGUAGCGGUGAAAUGCGCAGAUAUCAGGAGGAACACCGGUGGCGAAGGCGGGUCUCUGGGCCGAUACUGACGCUGAGGAGCGAAAGCGUGGGGAGCGAACAGG